AUUCAAAGCUGGCGAUUCACAUGACAAGUAAUGGAGAUUCAAUAAUGGAGAAAGCAUUAACUGGAUUUAACACACACUUGAUAAGGUUUAUUAAACCAGAUAGCUACAAGGAAAAUUUUGAUUAUUAAAGUAAACAGCAAACACUCCAUUGCCGGUGACGUUGGACAGGUAGUCCCACUCAAGGUGCAUGGAGCCCAACUCAGACAGGAUGGAGGAGCCACCUGAUGCCCAGCCCCAGUUCCUGAGACCAUGCAGAAGCAGUACAAGGUCAAAUCUGUGCAAGUGCGAGAGAAGAUCCGCGGCCUACUGAAAUCCAGCAAAUUAAAUGAAAAGUUUAAUAAAUGAUGGGAGUUCUAUACUAAAAACAGUACCCUGGUGCUCAUGUGUACAUAUUGUGACAUAAUAGCUUAAAAUAACUUCUGUGUCAAAACAUGUUUUAAGAAUUGCCAUUUAUCAUUGUUUCUUUUGUUUCUUGGCAUAUAGUUUUUAGCUCGGUUGCUUUCGGAGAUAACCCGAGGUAUUGUCAUAGCCAGCACAUCGUGUCGUCCGCAGUAGGCGUCCUGCUAUUACCUUAACAUUGGCUCUAAAAUCAAAGUGCUUCCAGGUCAAAGGUCAAGGUCACUGUGACCUCUAAAAAAAUAUUCUGACAAGCUUUCAUUUAUUCUCAAAACUGCACCCGCAGCCGAGCGUUGGCACCCGUUAUGCGUUUCUCUUGUUUCAAGGUUUGUGACUGUACAUUACUGGACUUAUUUGUAUUGUUAUGGCUUUGAAUACACUUUUUGAGGGUACUAUACUGUUAUUUUGCUUCUUUUUAUUGUUUAACUAAAGACAGGCGUGUUCUUCUAUGUAAAGGCAAGUUUUUUUAAUAAUGGACCUAGAAGAUUUG